rnacentral:rRNA from 1 species
GUCAGCGACUUAUAUUCUGUAGCAAGGUUAACCGAAUAGGGGAGCCGAAGGGAAACCGAGUCUUAACUGGGCGUUAAGUUGCAGGGUAUAGACCCGAAACCCGGUGAUCUAGCCAUGGGCAGGUUGAAGGUUGGGUAACACUAACUGGAGGACCGAACCGACUAAUGUUGAAAAAUUAGCGGAUGACUUGUGGCUGGGGGUGAAAGGCCAAUCAAACCGGGAGAUAGCUGGUUCUCCCCGAAAGCUAUUUAGGUAGCGCCUCGUGAAUUCAUCUCCGGGGGUAGAGCACUGUUUCGGCAAGGGGGUCAUCCCGACUUACCAACCCGAUGCAAACUGCGAAUACCGGAGAAUGUUAUCACGGGAGACACACGGCGGGUGCUAACGUCCGUCGUGAAGAGGGAAACAACCCAGACCGCCAGCUAAGGUCCCAAAGUCAUGGUUAAGUGGGAAACGAUGUGGGAAGGCCCAGACAGCCAGGAUGUUGGCUUAGAAGCAGCCAUCAUUUAAAGAAAGCGUAAUAGCUCACUGGUCGAGUCGGCCUGCGCGGAAGAUGUAACGGGGCUAAACCAUG